AGAGUUUGAUUCUGGCUCAGAUUGAACGCUGGCGGCAUGCCUUACACACGCAAGUCGAACGGUAACGCGGGGCAACCUGGCGACGAGUGGCGAACGGGUGAGUAAUGCAUCGGAACGUGCCCAGUAGUGGGGGAUAGCCCGGCGAAAGCCGGAUUAAUACCGCAUACGACCUAUGGGUGAAAGCGGGGGAUCGCAAGACCUCGCGCUAUUGGAGCGGCCGAUGUCAGAUUAGGUAGUUGGUGAGGUAAAGGCUCACCAAGCCUUUGAUCUGUAGCUGGUCUGAGAGGACGACCAGCCACACUGGGACUGAGACACGGCCCAGACUCCUACGGGAGGCAGCAGUGGGGAAUUUUGGACAAUGGGCGCAAGCCUGAUCCAGCCAUGCCGCGUGCGGGAAGAAGGCCUUCGGGUUGUAAACCGCUUUUGUCAGGGAAGAAACGCUCUGGGCUAAUACCCCGGGGUAAUGACGGUACCUGAAGAAUAAGCACCGGCUAACUACGUGCCAGCAGCCGCGGUAAUACGUAGGGUGCAAGCGUUAAUCGGAAUUACUGGGCGUAAAGCGUGCGCAGGCGGUUAUGCAAGACAGAUGUGAAAUCCCCGGGCUUAACCUGGGAACUGCAUUUGUGACUGCAUAGCUGGAGUGCGGCAGAGGGGGAUGGAAUUCCGCGUGUAGCAGUGAAAUGCGUAGAUAUGCGGAGGAACACCGAUGGCGAAGGCAAUCCCCUGGGCCUGCACUGACGCUCAUGCACGAAAGCG
rnacentral:rRNA from 1 species